rnacentral:rRNA from 1 species
AUUGAACGCUGGCGGCAGGCCUAACACAUGCAAGUCGAGCGAGCGGCGGACGGGGGAGAAAUGUUUGGGAAACUGCCUGAUGGAGGGGGAUAAAUACUGGAAACGGUAGCUAAUACAGCAUACCAUAUGAUGUGCCCAGAUGGGAUUAGCUAGUAGGUGGGGUAACGGCUCACCUAGGCGACGAUCCCUAGCUGGUCUGAGAGGAUGACCAGCCACACUGGAACUUAGACACGGUCCAGACUCCUACGGGAGGCAGCAGUGGGGAAUAUUGCACAAUGGGCGCAAGCCUGAUGCAGCCAUGCCGCGUGUGUGAAGAAGGCCUUCGGGUUGUAAAGCACUUUCAGCGGGGAGGCGUUACCCGCAGAAGAAGCACCGGCUAACUCCGUGCCAGCAGCCGCGGUAAUAC